rnacentral:rRNA from 1 species
GAUGAACGCUAGCGGCAGGCUUAACACAUGCAAGUCGAGGGGUAUAGUUCUUCGGAGCUAGAGACCGGCGCACGGGUGCGUAACGCGUAUGCAAUCUACCUUUUACAGGGGAAUAGCCCAGAGAAAUUUGGAUUAAUGCCCCAUAGUAUAUUCGAAUCGCAUGGUUUGAAUAUUAAAGUUCCAACGGUAAAAGAUGAGCAUGCGUCCCAUUAGUUAGUUGGUAAGGUAACGGCUUACCAAGACGAUGAUGGGUAGGGGUCCUGAGAGGGAGAUCCCCCACACUGGUACUGAGACACGGACCAGACUCCUACGGGAGGCAGCAGUGAGGAAUAUUGGUCAAUGGGCGCAAGCCUGAACCAGCCAUGCCGCGUGCAGGAUGAAGCAUCUAUGGUGUGUAAACUGCUUUUGUACGGGAAGAAACAGAGGAACGCGUUCCUCCUUGACGGUACCGUAAGAAUAAGGAUCGGCUAACUCCGUG